CUGUGGCUUUAUUCAAUUAGACCACUUUGAUAAUGCAUUUCUAUGUUGCUGCAAUCAUCAGCCUGCCUCAUCUAUUGAUUCUUCUGCAUAAUUUCUGAGAUUAUUCUCUGCGUAUAGGUUGUCACAGAAUAAGUUAUCUCUAUGAAUGAGGACCAGUGGCGCCUCAAAAUCAAUGGUUAAGCACUGAACUGGGAGGACAUGCAAAAAAUUGUACUCUUUCUACUUCUGAAGCUUUUAUGUUUGUGGAUUGGGGGCCUGAUGCAGAUACAUAGAUUCUGAUCAAGGCUCAUCUACUGCUGGUUGCGAGCUUUUUACUUCUGAAGCUUUUAUUGUUAAAAACAUCAUAUACUCGCAUAUUGAUUUAGAUGAUUUUUCCUUUAGAUGAAGAAGAUAUUUUGACAGUUGCAGUUAUGCACUUUUGAUUACUUUCAUGUUAGAUUCCAGUUUCGUUCU